rnacentral:rRNA from 1 species
GGCGGCGUGCUAAUACAUGCAAGUCGAACGAACUCUGGUAUUGAUUGGUGCUUGCAUCAUGAUUUACAUUUGAGUGAGUGGCGAACUGGUGAGUAACACGUGGGAAACCUGCCCAGAAGCGGGGGAUAACACCUGGAAACAGAUGCUAAUACCGCAUAACAACUUGGACCGCAUGGUCCGAGUUUGAAAGAUGGCUUCGGCUAUCACUUUUGGAUGGUCCCGCGGCGUAUUAGCUAGAUGGUGGGGUAACGGCUCACCAUGGCAAUGAUACGUAGCCGACCUGAGAGGGUAAUCGGCCACAUUGGGACUGAGACACGGCCCAAACUCCUACGGGAGGCAGCAGUAGGGAAUCUUCCACAAUGGACGAAAGUCUGAUGGAGCAACGCCGCGUGAGUGAAGAAGGGUUUCGGCUCGUAAAACUCUGUUGUUAAAGAAGAACAUAUCUGAGAGUAACUGUUCAGGUAUUGACGGUAUUUAACCAGAAAGCCACGGCUAACUACGUGCCAGCAGCCGCGGUAAUACGUAGGUGGCAAGCGUUGUCCGGAUUUAUUGGGCGUAAAGCGAGCGCAGGCGGUUUUUUAAGUCUGAUGUGAAAGCCUUCGGCUCAACCGAAGAAGUGCAUCGGAAACUGGGAAACUUGAGUGCAGAAGAGGACAGUGGAACUCCAUGUGUAGCGGUGAAAUGCGUAGAUAUAUGGAAGAACACCAGUGGCGAAGGCGGCUGUCUGGUCUGUAACUGACGCUGAGGCUCGAA